AAAAGCAGAAAGCCAUGGACAGCAAUUUAAAAACAACUCCACUAGUCCUGAAGCCAAAUGGCGUUAUUCCUUAAACUCUCCAAGUCACAGACCAAUACACCAACAACCCUAUCACACUCCGGUAUACCAUACCAUUUCGGCUCAGAAAAGACUAGGAACAGGAGGAAAGGAAGUUCGGUAUGGUGGUAAAGACAGCAUGGGUGUAAGAUAUACAGAGGUAUAUUUCUUCAAGCUCAGCCGUCUGUCGGGGAAGAGCUCAGGGCAGGGAGGCGAAGGAAGGUAGCAGCCAGCCGCGCUCUGUCGCGAGCUCCACAUAGCCUCUGAACUUCUCCUGCGCGUUCGGGAUGUCAAGGGUCAGAUCAUCGAGGCCUUCCUUGACACGGGCGAAGCCGUUGGUCAUCUGGUUGAUGGUUAUCAGCCCCUCGCUGGAGCACUCCUGCAGCAGAGCCAAGAUGCUAGCUUCAUUCUGCUUCUCCAUCGCCAUCACCAGCGCUUUCUUCACCACUUCAUGGUUGAAGAAGGGCAUCCCAAGGUCACGGAUGCACUGGCAGGCCUCCUUCAGGUCGCCGCCGGUGUUGUACUCCUCAAGGAGCUUGGAGAUCUUGUCUUUUGCAUCUUCCACAGCCCAGCCAGUGCCCCCACCCCAGCAGCGCAGUAUCCUCUCACCAGAAUGGCGGGCCGCAAGCAGAGAGCUGGCCAUCUGGACAGUUUGACUACCACUGCUGUUUGGCCGCAGCUUGCUACCGAUGUCAUCCAAAUUCAGUGGAAGCAAGACUUCAUCGAUCACUGCCCUGGCGAGGAAGAGGGCGAGUUCACUAGGAGCAUCCACAAUGUCGAGGGCAGUGUCUUCUGCUGACUGCAGGAGCAUUAUGAAUCCCUUCAUGAUAUCACCUGCGGAAAAUAGUUCCAAGCUGAGUGAAGAAAGAAGUACAGAUGCCAUCUCCUUCUCCCUGUUCUUCCUGUCCAUAGCAAGCGUGAUGAGCUUCUUAAGGAAAAUGGCGUUGUAUUCAGGGGCAGAAAGCUCUUCAAGGCUUCUAAUGAGUUCCGGGACGUCAUCUGAGAGGAAAUACUCCUGAAUUAUGUGACCAGACUCUUCUUUAAAACGCUUGACCUUUUCACUGCUUGCAUUCCACAUAUCUUCAUCAGGGGCAGCAGACUUACAGAAUGAAGCAUCAAGCCACCCUUCAGACAUGGCUGUGGAAAGCAGCUUGUCAAAAAGUGCUUUGGCUGAAGGAACAUCAAGGCUCAGGUCAUCAACACAGUCAGCAACCCGAGAAAAGCCCUUCGACACUUGAUUAGAACUGAUCAAACAACCCGUCGUUGAUUCCUUCAACAACUUCAGGAUUAAUGGCUGUGACGACAGAUUCUCCAUACCAAGGAUGAGAGCACGUUUCACAACCUCAUGGUGGAAGAAUGGAAGGCCCAGCUCCCUUAUGCACCUAAAGGCUUCAUCUGUAUCUCCACUCUCAAUGUACUCCCUCAGAAUAUCCUGGAUCCUCUUUUUCGCCUCUUCAACAGUAAAGUGUGUGCUCCCACCCCACUUGCGUUCAACUAACUCUGCAUGGUGAGGAGCUGACAAGUAGCUCUUCUCAGCAACCUGCAGAACUUCAAUGCCUUUUGAAGAUUCUGGAAGCAAUGCUCUGGCUCGAGUGAGAAAAACAGGAGGCAAUAUUUCAUCAACAAUGGCACGUGCCACAAAAACAGCCAAGACAUCAAUAGCGUCUGGUAUAUCCACAGAUAGAUCUUCUGUUGACUCUAGAAGCAUCAUAAAACCUUCACUCAUCUUGGAGGAGUCCAAUAGAUCAGCAUACAAGGCAGACAGCAGAAUUGACGCCAUUUCUUUUUCUUUAUCAUGGCGGUCCAUUGCCAUGGAUAUGAGCUUCUUCACAAAGUAAUUGUGAAACUGAUCGGAUCCAAGACUCCUUAGCUCGGAAACUGACAGUUCCACAUCUCCUGUACUAAAAUACUCCUCAAUUACUGGAACUACAAGCUUCCUGUAGUCAUCUAAUGUAGCAGGAACCUGCAUUUGCAGAGAGGCAAUGUCAGAUUAUAACGUCACAUCAACAGAGAACGAAAUGUUGGUAAUACCAUUGAGUGUAGAUAGUUCAAACCUUUUUAGUUCCAUUAACUAAUUUGCCCAACUCUUGGGAUGGUAACGGAUUUGCAUCUCCAAGGUUGUCUUGUUCAAUUUUCCCACCAACAUCUUCUGAAAGCAGCAUUGACAGAGUUACAACAACAUCCGUAGGAACUAUGAAGAAUAAGAUAGUAUUUCCAAAAAAAUAACCCAAUGCUAAAUCUAUGCAGAAGUAACAGUAGAAAAGAACUAAAUAUUGUCCUCUCAUUGAACUGUAGAAGCAAGCAAACUUCUACAAUCUUUAGAUGUCCGCAGUUAAUAUCACAAAAGCGGACACAUGACGUAUGGAAAUGGAAAAUUAUCAUGGUACCAAAUCACUCCAAAAAUGAAUUUAUUAUACACAAGAAUAAUUACCUAAACAACAACAUCAAGUAAAAAACUGAUGACUUGAGAAACAAGCUAAACAUACUCAUAGCAUUCUAGCUAUGAAGUAUGGAUAUAUGGCGUGAGCUGCUCAACAUUUGGCAGUUGACAUUUAUGGAAAAUAAUAGUCAGAUCCCUCAAUUCGAGAUCGCAUUUGGAGCAGCUUUAAGCUUUGACCACAUGCUUUAACAUAUAGGGAAAUAGAAACCAGUAAGAGAAACAAAGGACAGUAACUACACCAGACUAUAUCAAAACCAACAAAUGCAUAUUCUGCUGAAUCCGUGAGGAUAUUGCGCACUAAAGAAUUUAUAGCCUUCCAGUCAAGAACAAGCAACCAAAAACUAACAGAAACUGUCACAUACAUAAGAUUUUAGGAGUUAUAAGCGUGAGCUUAUAACCCCUCCAGAAGAUAACCAUAGUACCAACUAACCAUGGAGCGCAAAGACAAUACUCAGAACAACAUACCGAAACCGACAAAUCCACUACCAAUUGCAUGACUGAACCGGACAUCAAGCACUGAAGUCCAAUAAAAUCAAUAGGUGUCGUAUAUCGUUGCUGUCAACUUUAGAUAACCAUAAUACUGAGUUACCGACCAACCAUGGAGGGCAAAGACAAUACAGAUAAACAUAUCGGAACCGAAAAAAUCCACUACCAAUUGCAUGACCAAACUGGGCAGCAAGCACUGAAGUCCAAUAAAAACAAGCGGUGUCGUAUAUCGUUGCUGUCAACUUUAGAUAACCAUAAUACCGACCAACCAUGGAGCGCAAAGACAAUACUUAGAUCAACAUAUCGUAACCGACAAAUCCACUACCAAUUGCAAGACCAAACAAGCAGUGUGUAUCAUUGCUGCCAACUUUGUCGGCCACCCAUACGACAUGUCUUAUUGGGUUUCAACCCCUUUCGGAGGAAAAAAAAUAACACCUAUAACUUACCAAAAACCGUCGCCUACACACUAAAUCAUGACUAUCGAAAUCGACAAAUCAACUACCGAUUGCAUGACCAAGCUGAGAACUAAACUCCAAUGAAAAUAAGCAGCGUGUAUCGUUGCUGUCACCUUUGUCGGUGACUGCUACGACAUUUUGGGUUUUAACCCCUUUCGGCAAAAGAAACGGCCAACUGUAACUAACCAGAAACCGUCGCCUACGUACUCAAUCAGGACUCCACAGACAUCAAACCGAACAAUAAUCAAACAGCACCAGCUUCCCGCCACCAUGAACUAUACUCGAUAACGGUCUUCUACCGCUUACAGUGCACUGAAAAACUUCACAAAACAUCAAACCAUCAUCAUACUUGGUAACCAUUGUACUCCCAAAAGCCAUGCUACUCCAUCAGGCAUGCAUAGCAACAGGCAACCCUAGGAACAAGGAACAAAAUUCACGCACGUGCAUCAUCAAAUCACCCUCUAGGGGACAGCAGGUCCCCUGUCCCCAGCAAUAGCAGAACUGAAUAUUUACACUCCCUACGAUUCUAGCCCCAUCUACCAAUUCCGAAACCGACUCCCUACUCCUACGGCAUAGCAUAAUCCAGCACUCCUAUAACAUAAUUCAGCAGUAUAGACAACGUAGAGGAGUACACAAGGUAGCCGUAGCGAGCUGGCAGUCACCUUUCUUAGCGGUGUGGUGGUGUGGGAUGUGGCGGACGGCGAUCCCGCCGUCCGCCGGCGCCCGCCCGCCUGUGGCGAUGCGCAGAUGCCCCUCCGCCAGCAUCCUGGUGGGCGACCUCGCGCCGUCCUCCGCCGCCAUCUCCCUCUGCCUCCUCCGCGCGCCCUCCUGCACGCACACGCACACGCACACGCACACAGACCCAAUCAAAUCAGCACAGAGAACCGAGCGCCAGCAAGGGGCCGAAUCGAACCAACCGACCCCCGGGGCCGAUCGGGGGGAGCUGUUGUCGUGGAUACCUGCUGAGAUCGGAGGCGGCGGCGGGGCAGCGGCGGAAGCAGGCGAGGCGGAUCACGGGCGUGCGCCGCGCGGUGAGUGCGAGCGGAGAGGCGAGGCGGGGCGGGGCAGGGGGGAGGGAGUUUUUUAUUUAUCGGGCUACUAUCCCGCUCUGACACCUAUCGUUUAUAAUGGGCCGCCUGCGCAAAUCACAUUUACCCCCGGGUGUGCUAAGUUAAUCCCCCGGGCUUAACUGGACUUUUUUCCACCGCAAAAUGGAAAAUCUGGACUUUUUUCACGGCUUUUCUUUUCUUACUUCCCAAGCACCACCGCCGUGAGACCGAUGGAAGAAGAGGUCGGCGCGCUGUCGUGCAGGACCCGCUAACCCUCAGUGACAUAAUUAUAUCCCUAAAAAUGCUCUCAGUGACAUUAAUGCGGGACCACCUGCCAGUCAUGCCUCACGGCCUCGCGGCGUGUCGUUGUCGCGGGGCGGGGGCUCUGCGUCCGUGGAACGGGCGCAUGGGCCGGUGGGUGGUGGGGCGGCUGGGGGAGCGGGUGGCGCAUGGACGCGGCGGGCUCACGUGGAUCGGGCGGAUGGCCUGCGGGGAGCAGCGGAUGGGGAUGGACGUGUGUGGUGGUUCGGGGCUAGGCUGACACGUCAGGGGGGCGUCGGAAAGCUGGCCGUCCCUUUCCAGCCCCGCACGCGGCGGCGACGACGAGGAAGCGGCGGUGCCCUCGCCUCGCCGCACCGGCUGUAUCGAUCGGUGACAAAAAUCCACCUCAGGGUUCACUGGCCGCACCUGUAACUGACCGGCUUUACCUCAUUUUCUGAAACGGAAGGACUCCUCCGCUGUGGCUUUUGUUUCAGUUGCAAUCACAUGGAUGCACGAUAAUAUGGCUUCAGUUGCAUCUUUACAGCCUGUGAGUGUGUUNNNNNNNNNNNNNNNNNNNNNNNNNNNNNNNNNNNNNNNNNNNNNNNNNNNNNNNNNNNNNNNNNNNNNNNNNNNNNNNNNNNNNNNNNNNNNNNNNNNNNNNNNNNNNNNNNNNNNNNNNNNNNNNNNNNNNNNNNNNNNNNNNNNNNNNNNNNNNNNNNNNNNNNNNNNNNNNNNNNNNNNNNNNNNNNNNNNNNNNNNNNNNNNNNNNNNNNNNNNNNNNNNNNNNNNNNNNNNNNNNNNNNNNNNNNNNNNNNNNNNNNNNNNNNNNNNNNNNNNNNNNNNNNNNNNNNNNNNNNNNNNNNNNNNNNNNNNNNNNNNNNNNNNNNNNNNNNNNNNNNNNNNNNNNNNNNNNNNNNNNNNNNNNNNNNNNNNNNNNNNNNNNNNNNNNNNNNNNNNNNNNNNNNNNNNNNNNNNNNNNNNNNNNNNNNNNNNNNNNNNNNNNNNNNNNNNNNNNNNNNNNNNNNNNNNNNNNNNNNNUCAAGGGCGCAUUCGGCCUGUGCCCAGCCAAGCCCGUGCGAUGCAGUUUUAGCCCAUUUGGUAGCCUUUGUAUGCAUCCAAAUAUUGGUCACCGUGCGGGUCGGAGGCUGGCAACUAAACACAAUUUCUUUUGUUUUCCUUUUUCUCUGGUUCCAUCGUUUUCCUGAGUUUUUUUUGUGUGUUUUCGUUGUUUCAUUUCUUCGUAUUUCCUUUUCAAUUUCUUAUUUCUAAUUGUUUUUCAUUUUUCUAAUUUCGUGAAUUUUUAAAGUUUGGAAAAAAUGAAUUUCAUGUGGGUCUUUUGAAGUUUAGUAACAAUUUUUGGAAUCUGUGAAUAUUUUUAAAAUCGAUGACUUUUUUUUGAAAUUUUUGAACAUUUUGAAUCGAUAAAUUUUUUUCUGAAUUGAUGAAUAAUUUUGGGAAUUCACGAAUAUUUUUGAAUUCAUGAGUUUUUGGAAUUUGAAACAUUUUUAAAAUCAAUGAACUUCUUUUGUAGUCAUCGGAAUUUUUUAAAUUUGUGAAUCAUUUUUUAAAAUUCAAAAGAUUUUCCAUGUUUGUGAACAUUAUAUGAAAUCUGGGAAUAUUUUUCAAAUUUGUGAACUUUUUUUUCCAACCGGGAACAAAUUUUAAACUGCACAUUUAAAAAAAUGCAAAACAUGUUUCUAAAUUUGCAACUUUAAAAAAAUUAAUGAACAUGUUUUGAAAUUCCAAACUUUCUUUGAAAUCCUAAAGAUUUGUUGAAGACACAGAAAAAUAUAAAACAAAAGGCAAAAGGCAAAAAAAAAACAAGGGAGACCCUUUGUGCACGUGGGUCGGCCCAAAUUCGCGUGUGGGGGAGCAUGGGUUAUGUGUUAGCUCGAUUUCCACCACAAGUCAAGGAGUAGGAGCUCCUGUCGGGAAGGAGUUGCUCUAGCAAAGAAUCUUAACCUUACACACACUAAGAUUGUGUGGUGGUGAAAGAUAUCGAGUAGGGAGCAAGUAAAUCCUAUGGUACAUUCCUCUAAGAGAUUAAGGCGUGGAAGACAUCUCUGCAAAGUUGUCAUUUUAUAUAUGAACAUGGAAGCUCUAAUUUCGAGGCUCAUACCCUUACAAAGCACGCCUCUAUUUUUGGUAUUGGCCGUCAUUUUUGGCUGGGUCUCGCAUACGAUCUUGUCACAGUAUCUAUAAACAUUCUUACUGAGUAAUAAUAAAGUGUGUGUUUGCCUAAAAAAUCCAAAUAUUGGCUCGCGUGAUGUUUAGAGCACCUCCUAGAUAGACCCGCUAGGAACGGACGAAUAGGUCGUUUCCUCUCAUCCAAGCUCGCGCGAGUAGGGUAGGGGAAUGCAACAUCAAGCUCAUGCGAGUUGGGAGAUGGCGUGAGCUCGCGCGCAUCCACAAAAAAGCAACGGAAGGAAUUGGGUCACCUCCCGUCGGAUCGGUCGCCCUAUUUGGCCACAUUCGCCUCACCGCUGAAACCCCGCCACCAUCAUUCCUUCAAGCUUUCCAUCCUAUGCGGAUCCUUCGUCGAUGAGCGGGUAAGUGACGCAUCUUCUACUACGUGUGGUAGAGGACAGAGGAGCUUUGUCUUCCUCCAUUUCUCCUCCCUGUUGUGGGCCUCCGCGCGGGUUCACCGAUGGCUGUAAGUUCGAUCACUGCCUCCUCCCUACGCGUUCGAGUUUAGAUCUAUAAGCAUGUGGUAGGAGUAGAUCUCUGAGCAUGUGGCAGCAUUGUAGACUGUCAAUAUAUUAGCAUGUGAUAUUAUGGUAGCUAGUAGUGAUGGAUUGGUAGCAUGCUAGUUUUUGCUUCUAGGAUUUGAUGAUCUUCAUGUUUGUUUUUCAUGUUGGUUUUGACGACACUAUGGUAGAAGUGUGAAAGUGCAACUAUCCCUGGGUGGUUUUGGUAAUGAUUAACAACAUAUAGCUCAUUGAACUAAUGUCAUUACAAGAUAAAUAUUUUAGGAAAGUUCAAUGAUUGGCAUGGCGUAGAUAAGGAAUGUGGACCCCUCAAAAUGCUAAGGGCAAAAGGUUGGCUCAAGCUUCAAAAGUCCAAGACUCUACAUUUUCUAUUUGAGUGAUCAAAGAUCACAUUGAGUCUAUAGGAAAGUCAAUACUAUUAAAAGGGGAUGAGGUGUUGCUUAAUGGCUUGCUUGCUCAAAGUGCUUAAUGAUAUGCUCCAAAGCCCUCAACCACUUUCUAAUAUCCACAUAUGUCCCAAACCAAAAGUCAAACUCGGCCCCACCGAUUUGAUCUAUCCGGCGCCACCGAGUUCAUUUGACAUAGCCACUGCCAGAGACCCUAGUCUUUUCGGUCUCACUGAUAGGGAUCUCGGUCUCACCGAGAUGGGGUUGCAAACUCUCUGUUUCCCUUCAUAAUGUUUCGGUCUAACCGAGAUGAGCGAUCGGACUCAUCGAGUCUACAAUGCAAACUCUCUAUUUCCUUUUCGUAAUGCUUCGGUCCUACCGAGACGAGCGAAUCGGUCCCACCGAGUUUGCCUGACCAACUCUCUGGUUAGCUUAUUACCAAAGUCGGUCCAACCGAGUUUGUGUAAUCGGUCAAACCGAGAUUAUGUUAUGCCCUAACCCUAAUGAUAUCGGUCCCACCGAGAUGACAUGUCGGUCCCACCGAAAUUGCCUAGCGGUCACAUAUGCACUGAAUCGGUCCGAUCGAGUUUUUUGAUUCGGUCCCACCGAGUUUGGUAUAAUGUGUGUAACAGUUAGAUUUUGUGUGGAGGCUAUAUAUACCCCUCCACCCUCUCCUUAUUCGUGAGGGAAGCCAUCAGAACGUGCCUACACUUCCACUACUCUUUUUCUAAGAGAGAGCCACCUACUCAUGUGUUGAGACCAUGAUAUUCCAAUCCAACCAUAUGAAUCUUGACCUCUAGCCUUCCCCAAGUUACUUUCCACUCAAAUCAGCUUUCCACCAAAUCCAAUCUUAUGAGAGUGAGUUGAGUGUUGGGGAGACUAUCAUUUGAAGCACAAGAGCAAGGAGUUCAUCAUCAACACUCCAUCUAUUACCUUUUGGAGAGUGGUGUCUCCUAGAUUGGUUAGGUGUCACUUGGGAGCCUCCGACAAGAUUGUGGAGUUGAACCAAGGAGUUUGUAAGGGCAAGGAGAUCGCCUACUUCAUGAAGAUCUACCCAAGUGAGGCAAGUCCUUCGUGGGCGAUGGCCAUGGUAGGAUAGACAAGGUUGCUUCUUCGUGGAUCCUUCGUGGGUGGAGCCCUCCAUGGACUCGAGCAUCCGUUACCCUUUGUGGGUUGAAGUCUCCAUCAACGUGGAUGUACGAUAGCACCACCUAUCGGAACCACGCCAAAAACAUUUGUGUCUCCAAUUUUGUUUGCACUCUUCAAACUCUUCCCUUUACAUUCUUGCAAGUUGCCUGCUUUACUUUCAGCUGCUUAUAUACUCAUUGCAUGCUUGCUUGAAUUGUGUUAAGAUUGCUUGACUUGUGCUAAGUUGUUAAAAUCUGCCAAGAACUAAAAUUGGAAAAAGGUUAAGUUUUUAUUUGGUCAAGUAGUCUAAUCACCCCCCCAUCUAGACAUACUUUCCAUCCUACAAUUGGUAUUAGAGGUUUGGUCUCCAUUUGCUUUGAUUUCCAUAGCGUUUGGUUAUCAUAGCCUUGGUCUCACAACCUAGGAAAGUAUGGCAUCUAGCGAGGGAAAUUACCACCAUAGAGGUCCUUACUUUGAUGGUACAAAUUUUGCUAGUUGGAAGCAUAAGAUGAAAAUGCAUAUUCUUGGACAUAACCCCACCGUUUGGGCUAUUGUGUGUAUUGGCUCGCAAGGUGAAUUCUUUGAUGGGAAAGAACCAAACCAUGAAGCUACCGCGAAAGAGUUGAAGAUGUUGCAAUACAACACUCAAGCUUGUGAUAUCCUCUUCAACAGAUUGUGCCCCGAAGAAUUCAACAAAAUCAGCCGCCUUGAGAAUGUAAAGGAAAUUUUGGAUACUUUGAUUGACAUGCACGAAGGUACCGACUCCGUCAAGGAAUCCAAAUUGGAUGUGCUUCAAAGUCAACUUGACAAGUUCAAAAUGAAGGAUGGUGAAGGUGUCGCUGAAAUGUACUCUAGGCUUGCUCUCAUCACAAAUGAGAUUGCCGGCUUAGGAAGUGAAGAGAUGACCGACAAAUUCAUCAUCAAGAAGAUCCUAAUAGCCUUGGAUGGAAAAUAUGAUACCGUGUGCACAUUGAUCCAAAUGAUGCCCAAUUACAAAGAUCUCAAGCUAACAAAAGUCAUUGGAAGAAUUGUUGCUCAUGAGAUGUCACUCAAGGAUAAGGAAGAGCUUCACAACAUGUCAAAUGGUGCUUAUAAAGCCUCAUGUGAUGCUCCUGCAUCAUCAAGUGAGAAACAAACCUUCAAUGAGGAAUUGAGCUUAAUGGUGAAAAAUUUCAACAAGUUCUACAAGAGUAGAAGCAAGGAAAGAAGUUCCAAGUCAAGGUCCUACAAUGACAAAAGAUCUUCAAGUCGUGGACGAAAUUGUUACAAUUGUGGAAGACCCGGACACUAUUCCAAUGAGUGUACGACUCCUUACAAAAGGAGAGAAGAUUCACCCAAAAGAGAGAAGGAGUAGAGAUGAUCACUAUGAACGAAGAACAUCCUGGAGAAGCAAGGAUUCGGAAAGGAGGGACAAAUCAUCAAAGAGCUACACAAAACAAAGACAUCAAACUCAUGUUGGUGAAUGGGUAUCCGGCUCCGACUCCGACAAUCACUCCGAGAGAAGCUAUCACUCCGACUCCGGAUAUACUCAAGAUGAAGGUGUUGCCAGUCUAGCACUCGUGUCAACCAACUCCUACAAAAUAUUUGACUCACCAAAUGAAGGAAUUGAAAGAUGCUUCAUGGCUAAAGGCCCAAAUGUAUCACACCCCGAGUAUGUUGAUUUCAAUAAUGAUGAAGAUGACUUGUUAGGUGAUGAUUUACUUGUUGACAACUCUAAUGAUGAAUACUAUGAUGAAACGUCAAAUAAUCAUGCUAAUCAAGAUAAAACGAAUGACAAUGAUAAGGAGAAGAUUGAGCGCCUAACUAAAGAACUAAACAAUGUUAAGCUAGCUCAUGAAACUAACUUGGAAGAUCAUCGAGAACUUUUAAAGACUCAUGAGAAGUUACGCUUUGAAAAGCUCAAUCUUGAGCAAGAGCAUGAGUUUUUAAAGGCAAUCAAUGAUGAUCUUCGCAAGAAAAGUUCUUCUUACAUUGCCAAGAGUUUACUCUUAUCUACUUACAUGCCACAAGUCAAGUCUAGUAACAAGAGCAAGCAAGAUUCUUCUAGUAGUAACAAUAAUCAUGCUAAAUCCAAUGUUGUUGUUUUUAGUAGUUCUCUUGAUUCCACUAAUGAUUCUCUUAGCCAAGUUACACUUGAGCAAGAAAAUAGCUUAUUGAAGGGUAUUAUAGAGAAGGGUGUCUACAAGAGCCUUGCCAGGAGUAAGCAAUUUGAAGAAAUUGUACGCAAGCAAGGAAGGCACCGAAAGAAUCAAGGUGUUGGUUUUGAACGAAAGUUCAAUGCCAAUGGAGUUGAGUGGGAAGAAGAUCAAUAUCCCAAGACGAAGUUUGUUCCCCAACAAGAGAAGUAUGAUCCUACUUCUUUCCAAGGGACACAAGCUCAAGAUGAUCUUCCACCACAAGACCACAAGCAAAAAGGCAAGGACAAGCCUCAAGAGGAGAUUGAUGCAUUUGAAGAAGCUCCCAAGGCCUUGGUCAAGUGGGUUCCCAAGACUACAUCAAGUUCUACUUCAUCAAGUUCCACUACUACCCCAAGGAUUCCCAUCAAGAUGAUGUGGAUCCCAAAGAAGAAGAACUAGAGAGUUCUUGAGGGUGACUCUGCCAAUGUACUUCACUCAUAUCGUUUUGGCAAGGACAAGUGCAAUCAACUUCCACAUCUUACACUAGUUCAAGGAGUCACAAACCCUCUUGUUGGUAAGACAAGGGACAAGGUAACCAAAUGCUUUCAUGGAAAUCAUCUUGUGUAUGCAUCACUCUAUGUAUAUGGACAUUCUUGCUUGUUCCUUGUGGGACUAACCCGUGUAGGUACUGAAAGUGCAACUCACUCCAAUGGAUUGCUCCAAAUGGUCAACAACAUUGAGCAUCCAUAUCUUCAACACCUACAUGAAGUCAUCAUCGACAAAACCCAAGGUUAGUUCAUCCCUCUUAGGAGGGGGAUCGCACAUCUAGUGGGAGCUUUACUCUAAAGAAUUGAGCUAAAGCAACUCUAAUGGUAUGAACACAACAAUGCUUUAUGUAAAAGUGGUAACCCCACUUGUGCUUAAAAUGAUGAGUAUGACCUAUGAUCAAAUAUUCUCAUUUGACUCAUAAGUCAAUAUACUCAUAAAUAGAUGACCUAGUCAUCGCCAAUUGCUUGAUAGAUGCUAGAAUUGGUUGUGCAUGUGAUGUCUACUACACAACCUUCUUCUUGUAGACGUUGUUGGGCCUGCAAGUGCACAGGUUUGUAGGACAGUAGCAAAUUUCCCUCAAGUGGAUGACCUAAGGUUUAUCAAUCCGUAGGAGGCGUAGGAUGAAGAUGGUCUCUCUCAAACAACCCUGCAACCAAAUAACAAAGAGUCUCUUGUGUCCCCAACACACCCAAUACAAUGGCAAAUUGUAUAGGUGCACUAGUUUGGCGAAGAGAUGGUGAUACAGGUGCAAAAUAGAUAGUAGAUAUAGGUUUUUGUAAUCUGAAAUAAUAAAAACAGCAAGGUAACAAGUGGUAAAAGUGAGCGUAAACGGUAUUGCAAUGAUAGGAAACAAGGCAUAGGGUUCAUACUCCACCAGUGCAAGUUCUCUCAACAAUAAUAACAUAGAUAGAUCAUAUAACAAGCCCUCAACAUGCAACAAAGAGUCACUCCAAAGCCACUAAUAGAGGAAAACAAACGUAGAGAUUAUGGUCGGGUACGAAACCACCACAAAGUUAUUCUUUCGGAUCGAUCUAUAAAAGAGUUUGUACUAGAAUAACACCUUAAGACACAAAUCAACAAAAACCCUAAUGUCACCUAGAUACUCUAUUGUCACCUCAAGUAUCCGUGGGCAUGAUUAUAUGAUAUGCAUCACACAAUCUCAGAUUCAUCCAACCAACAUAAAAGUACUUCAAAGAGUGCCCCAAAGCUACUACCGGAGAGUCAAGAACGUGUGCCAACCCCUAUGCAUAGGUUCCCAAUUAUCACGAAACCCGCAAGUUGAUCACCAAAACAUACAUCAAGUGGCACAUGAUAUCCCAUUGUCACCACAGAUAAUCACGGCAAGACAUACAUCAAGUGUUCUCAUAAAGACUCAAUCCGAUAAGAUAACUUCAAAAGGGGAAACUCAAUUCAUCACAAGAGAGUAGAGGGGGAGAAACAUCAUAAGAUCCAACUACAAUAGCAAAGCUCGGGAUACAUCAAGAUCGUGCCAUAGAGGAACAGGAGAGAGAACACGAGAGCGAGAGAGAUCAAACACAUAGCUACUGGUACAUACCCUCAGCCCCGAGGGUGAACUACUCCCUCCUCGUCAUGGAUAGCGCCGGGAUGAUGAAGAUGGCCUCCGGUGAUGGGAUCCCCCUCCGGCAGGGUGCCGGAACAGGGUCCCGAUUGGUUUUUGGUGGCUAUAGAGGCUUGCGGCGGCGGAACUCCCGAUCUAGGUUCUGUUCUGGAAGUUUAAGGGUACGUAGGUAUAUAUGGGUGAAAGGAGAACGUCGGUGGAGCUUCGGGGGGCCCACGAGGCAGGGGGCGCGCCCAGGGGGGUGGGCGCACCCCCACCCUCGUGGCCAGCUCCCGUAUCUUCUGACGUGGGGUCCAAGUCCAUCAGGUGGGUUUCCUUCCAAAAAUAACUUCUUCAGUUGAUUUCGUUCCGUUUUGACUCCGUCUGAUAUUCCUUUUCCUCGAAACACUGAAAUAGGCAUAAAACAACAAAUCUGGGCUGGGCCUCCGGUUAAUAGGUUAGUCCUAAAAUAAUAUAAAAGUGGAUAAUAAAGCCCAAUAUUGCCUAAAACAGUAGAUAAAGUAGCAUGGAGCAAUAAAAAUUAUAGAUAUGUUGGAGACGUAUCAAGCAUCCCCAAGCUUAAUUCCUGCUCCUCCUCGAGUAGGUAAAUGAUAAAAAGAGAAUUUUUGAUGCGGAGUGAUACUUUGGCAUAAUUUCAAUGUAAAUCUUCUUAAUCGAGGUAUGAGAUCCGAAAGAUUCAAGACAAAAGUUCAUAUUGACACAAAAAUAAUAAUACUUCAAGCAUACUAAUCGAAGCAAUCACGUCUUCUCAAAAUAACAUGGCAAAAGAAAGGUCAUCCCUACAAAAUCAUAUAGUUAGGCUAUGCUUCAUUUUCGUCACACAAAGAUGUUCCCAACUUCUAUACCCCCGAUGACAAGCCAAGCAAUUGUUUCGUACUUAAAUAAUCUCAAACCUUUUUCAACCUUCACGCAAUACAUGAGCGUGAGCCAUGGAUAUAACACUAUGGGUGGAAUAGAAUAUGAUGAUGGGGAUUGUGUGGAGAAGACAAAAAAGGAGAAAGUCUCACGUUGACGAGGCUAAUCAACGGGCUAUGGAGAUGCCCAUCAAUUGAUGUCAACAUGAGGAGUAGGGAUUGCCAUGCAACGGAUGCACUAGAGCUAUGAAUGCUCAACAAAAGAAAACUAGUGGGUGUGCAUCCAACUCGCUUGCUCACGAAGACCUAGGGCAUUUGAGGAAGCCCAUCGUAGGAAUAUACAAGCCAAGUUCUAUAAUGAAAAAUUCCCACUAGUAUGAAAAAGACAACUUAUGAGACUCACUAUAUGAAAAACAUGGUGCUACUUUGAAGCACAAUAUAUGAGACUCACUACAUGAAGAACGAGGUGCCACUUUGAAGCACAAUAUAUGAGACUCACUACAUGAAGAACAUGGUGCUACUUUGAAGCACAAGUGUGGAAAAAGAGAUAGUAGCAUUGCCCCUUUUUUUGGGCCUUUAUUUUUUUUGGCCUUUCUCUUUUUUUUGGGCAAUGCUCUAAUAAUGAUGAUCAUCACACUUCUAUUGAUUACCACAUGAGGAUUACAACUCGAAACUAGAACAAGGUAUGACUCUAUAUGAAUGCCUCCGACGGUGUACCGGGAUGGUGCAAUGAAUCAAGAGUGACAUGUAUGAAAAAUAAUGCAUGGUGGCUUUGCCACAAAUACGAUGUCAACUACAUGAUCAUGCAAUGGCAAUAUGACAAAAGUAAUGUAUGUCAUAAUAAUGAUGAACGGAACGGUGGAAAGUUGCAUGGCAAUAUAUCUUGGAAUGGCUAUGGAAAUGCCAUAAUAGGUAGGUAUGGUGGCUGUUUUGAGGAAGAUAUAGGGAGGUUUAUGUGUGAUAGAGCGUAUCGUAUCACAGAGUUUGGAUGCACCGGCGAAGUUUGCGCCAACUCUCAAUAUGAGAAAGGGCAAUGCACGGUACCGAAGAGGCUAGCAAUGGCGGAAAGGUAAAAGUGCGUAUAAUCCAUGGACUCAACAUUAGUCAAAAGAACUCAUAUACUUGUUGCAAAAAUUUAGAAGUCAUCAAAAAUUCAAGUACUACGCGCAUGCUCCUAGGGGGAUAGAUUGGUAGGAAAAGACCAUCGCUCGUCCCCGACCGCCACUCAUAAGGAUGCACAAGCCAGGUACACUUCAUGUUUCAAAUUUGUUACACAACUUUAACCAUACGUGCAUGCUACGAGAUUUACCAACUUCAACACAAGUAUUUCUCAAAUUCACAACUACUCAACUAGCAUGACUUUGAUAUUAUUACCUCCAUAUCUCAAAACAAUUAUCAAGCAUCAAACUUAUUUUAGUAUUCAACACACUCAAAAGAAAGUUUCACAUAUCUUGAACACCACGUAUAUUAACAUUAAGCAAAUUACCAUGCUAUUAACGAAUCUCAAAAUAAUAUAAGUGAAGCAUGAGAGUUCAAUAGUUUCUUUAAAACAAAUCCACCACCGUGCUCUAAAAGAUCUAAGUGAAGCACUAGAGCAAAAAUUAUCACGCUCAAAAGAUAUAAGUGAAGCACAUAGAGUAUUCUAGCAAAUUCCAAUUUGUUUAUGGCUCUAUCUCAAUAAAGAAUUCAGAUCUUGAUACUUCAUUCAAACAGCAAGCAAAGCUAAAGAAAACUACAAUGCAAGGAUAGCACAACUCAUGUGAAGAAGCAAAAACUUAGGCUCAACCGAUACUAACCGAUAGUUGUUGAAGAAGAAAGGUGGGAUGCCUACCGGGGCAUCCCCAAGCUUAGAUGCUUGAGACUUCUUGAAAUAUUAUCUUGGGGUGCCUUGGGCAUCCCCAAGCUUGAACUUUUGUGUCUCCUUAAUUACUCUCAUAUCAUGGUUUCUCUUUUUACCAAAAGCUUCAUACACAACAAACUCAACAAGAACUCGUGAGAUAGGUUAGUAUAAACCAAUGCAAAACCUUAUCAUUUUCUACUGUAACAAAUCACUAAUAUUAUUAUUACACAUUGAAUACUAAAUGCCUCUGUAUAUUUAAUACUCCUAUCCUCAAAUAGAAUCAUUAAACAAGCAAACAUAUGCAAACAAUGCAACCAUAACAGCAAUCUACCAAAACAGUACAGUCUGUAAAGAAUGCAAGAGUAACAAUACUUACCUGACUCCAAAAAUUAUGAACUAAAAUUCCCACUGUAAUAAAUUUAUCAUAUCUUAAUAUGCAAAAAGAUUCAACGUUAUACCAUUCUCCGACUUUUCUAGAGAAUUUUUGCAAAAGCGGUAAACUUUCUGUUUUCAAACAGCAACAUGUAUACUAGCAAAAUAAGCAUGGCAAAGGCUAUCCUUGACUUUUUUAUUGAACCUAAAGAUGAAAAUAAUUAUUCUAACUAACAUCAAUCAAAAACUAACAAAAUAAAAUGACGCUCCAAGCAAAACACAUAUCAUGUGGCGAAUAAAAAUAUAGCUCCAAGUAAAGUUACCGAUAAACGAGGACGAAAGAGGGGAUGCCUUCCGGGGCAUCCCCAAGCUUAGGCUCUUGGUUAUCCUUUAAUAUUACCUUGGGAUGCCUUGGGAAUCCCCAAGCUUAGUCUCUUUCCACUCCUUAUUCCAUAGUCCAUCGAAUCUUUACCCAAAACUUGAAAACUUCAACCACACAAAACUCAAAACAAAACACAUAAGCUCCGUUAGCAUAAGAAAAUAAACCACCACUUAGGUACUGUAAUGAACUCAUCCUAAAUUCAUAUUUGGUGUAAUAUAUACUGUAUUCUAACUUCUCUAUGGUUCAUACCACUUAAUACUAGCCAUAGAUGCAUCAAAAUAAGCAAACAACACAAUGAAAACAGAAUCUGUCAAAAACAGAACAGUCUGUAGUAAUCUGUAUCAAACGUAUACUUCUAGAACCCAAAAAAUCAUUAAAUAAAUUGCUGGACCAGGGAAAUUUGUCUAUUAGUAAUCUGAAAAAAUAAUCAACCUAAAAGCACUCUCCAGUAAAACAUGGCAGCUAAUCUCGUGAGCGCUAAAGUUUCUGUUUUUCACAGCAAGAUCAUAUAAACUUCACCCAAGUCUUCCCAAAGGUUCUACUUGGCACUUUAUUGAAACAAAAGCUAUAAAACAUGAUUACUACAGUAGCAUAAUCAUGUGGACACACAAGAACAGUAAGGAUAAAUAUUGGGUUAUCUCCCAACAAGUGCUUUUCUUUAAUGUCUUUUAGCUAGGCAUGAUGAUGACAAUGAUGCUCACAUAAAAGAUAAGAAUUGAAACAUAACGGGAGCAUCAUGAAGCAUAUGACUAGCACAUUUAAGUCUAACCCACUUCCUAUGCAUAGGGAUUUUGUGAGCAAACAACUUAUGGGAACAAUAAUCAACUAGCAUAGGAAGGUAAAACAAGCAUAGCUUCAAAAUUUUAAGCACAUAGGGAGGAAACUUGAUAUUAUUGCAAUUCCUACAAGCAUAUGUUCCUCUCUCAUAAUAAUUUUCAGUAGCAUCAUGAAUGAAUUCAACAAUAUAACCAGCACCUAAAGCAUUCUUUUCAUGAUCUACAAGCAUAGAAAAUUCACUACCCUCCACAUAAGCAAAACUCUUCUCAUUCGGAAUAGUAGUGGGAGCAAACUCAACAAAAUAACUAUCAUAUGAUUGAAAAUUAAGAUCAAGAUGACAAGUUUCAUGGUUAUCAUUAUUCUUUAAAGCAUACGUGUCAUCACAAUAAUCAUCAUAGAUAGGAGGCAUGCUUUCAUCAUAGUAAAUUUGCUCAUCAAAGCUUGGGGGACAAAAAAUAUCAUCUCCAUCAAACAUAGCUUCCCCAAGCUUGUGGCUUUGCAUAUCAUUAGCAUCAUGGAUAUUCAAGGAAGUCAUACUAACAACAUUGCAAUCAUGCUCAUCAUUCACAUAUUUAGUUCCAAACAUUCUAUAGAUUUCUUCUUCUAGCACUUGAGCACAAUUAUCCAUUCCAUCAUACUCACGAAAGAUAUUAAAAAGGUGAAGCGUAUGAGACAAACUCAACUCCAUUUUUUUGUAUUUUUCUUUUAUAAACUAAACAAGUGCUAAAACAAGAAACAAAAAGAUUCGAUUACAAGAUCUAAAGAUAUACCUUCAAGCACUCACCGCACCAAAAAAAGAGCUUAGUUGACGGAGUGUGAGUACCCUUUACCUAGCCUCCCCGGCAACGGCGCCAGAAAAGAGUUUGAUGUCUACUACACAACCUUAUUCUUGUAGACGUUGUUGGGCCUGCAAGUGCACAGGUUUGUAGGACAGUAGCAAAUUUCCCUCAAGUGGAUGACCUAAGGUUUACCAAUCCGUAGGAGGCGUAGGAUGAAGAUGGUCUCUCUCAAACAACCCUGCAACCAAAUAACAAAGAGUCUCUUGUGUCCCCAACACACCCAAUACAAUGGCAAAUUGUAUAGGUGCACUAGUUCGGCGAAGAGAUGGUCAUACAAGUGCAAAAUAGAUAGUAGAUAUAGGUUUUUGUAAUCUGAAAUAAUAAAAACAGCAAGGUAACAAGUGGUAAAAGUGAGCGUAAAUGGUAUUGCAAUGAUAGGAAACAAGGCCUAGGGUUCAUACUUUCACUAGUGCAAGUUCUCUCAACAAUAAUAACAUAGAUAGAUCAUAUAACAAACCCUCAACAUGCAACAAAGAGUCACUCCAAAGCCACUAAUAGUGGAGAACAAACGUAGAGAUUAUGGUCGGGUACGAAACCACCACAAAGUUAUUCUUUCGGAUCGAUCUAUAAAAGAGUUCGUACUAGAAUAACACCUUAAGACACAAAUCAACCAAAAUCCUAAUGUCACCUAGAUACUCCAUUGUCACCUCAAGUAUCCGUGGGCAUGAUUAUACGAUAUGCAUCACACAAUCUCAGAUUCAUCCAACCAACAUAAAAGUACUUCAAAGAGUGCCCCAAAGCUACUACCGGAGAGUCAAGAAUGUGUGCCAACCCCUAUGCAUAGGUUCCCAAUUGUCACGAAACCCGCAAGUUGAUCACCAAAACAUACAUCAAGUGGCACAUGAUAUCCCAUUGUCACCACAGAUAAUCACGGCAAGACAUACAUCAAGUGUUCUCAUAAAGACUCAAUCUGAUAAGAUAACUUCAAAAGGGGAAACUCAAUUCAUCACAAGAGAGUAGAGGGGGAGAAACAUCAUAAGGUCCAACUACAUAGCAAAGCUCGGGAUACAUCAAGAUCGUGCCAUAGAGGAACAUGAGAGAGAACACGAGAGAGAGAGAGAUCAAACACAUAGCUACUGGUACAUACCCUCAGCCCCGAGGGUGAACUACUCCCUCCUCGUCAUGGAUAGCGCCGGUAUGAUGAAGAUGGACUACGAUGAUGGGAUCCCCCUCCGUCAGGGUGCCGGAACAGGGUCCGAUUGGUUUUUGGUGGCUACAGAGGCUUGCGGAGGUGGAACUCCCGAUCUAGGUUCUGUUCUGGAAGUUUUAGGGUACGUAGGUAUAUAUGGGUGAAAGGAGAACGUCGGUGGAGCUUCGGGGGUCCCACGAGGCAGGGGGCGUGCCCGGGGGGGUGGGUGCACCCCCACCCUUGUGGCCAACUCCCGUAUCUUCUGACGUGGGGUCCAAGUCCAUCAGGUGGGGUUCCUUCCAAAAAUAACUUCUCCAGUUAAUUUCGUUCCGUUUUGACUCCGUCUGAUAUUCCUCUUCCUCGAAACACUGAAAUAGGCAUAAAACAGCAAAUCUGGGCUGGGCCUCCGGUUAAUACGUUAGCCCCAAAAAUAAUAUAAAAGUGGAUAAUAAAGCCCAAUAUUGCCUAAAACGGUAGAUAAAGUAGCAUGGAGCAAUCAAAAAUUAUAGAUACGUUGGAGACGUAUCAGCAUGCUUUGCCACAUAUUUCAUUUGCCAUUUAUUGUGUGAGCAUGUUUGUUGCAUAUUUUACUCAUUCAAGGACAUCCACUUGUUGUUUUGAUUGUUUGGUUUCUUUUUCUUUUGCCAAGUGGAUGGACAAGAAUGCCUAAGAACCUUCUCUAGCUAUCUAUGCUUUUCUCGUCUCAAUCUCUAUUUAUGCUACAUCACAAAGUUUGAUCAAGUCAGAUUCGAACCACUCUGUGUGAGGAGCACUCGGAGUCCCUGAUUCGUCAUAGACUUAAACUUCCAAAACCUCUUUGUGCAUUUCGGUCUGACCGAGAACUCCAUUUCGGUCAAACUGAGUUCACUAAGUUGAUCUAGGUUUUCAUCUCGGUGCAAGAAAUUUGAACACUUCGGUCACACCGAGUUGCAGCAACCGCUUGCGAUUCUGCAAUCUCGGUGCCACCGAGUUGUUCCAUGAUACGUCUUCAACGUAUCUAUAAUUUAUGAAGCAUUCAUGCUAUUAUAUUAUCUGUUUUGGAUGUUUAUGGGCUUUAUUAUACACUUUUAUAUUAUUUUUGGGACUAACCUAUUAACCGGAGGCCCAACCCAUAUUGCUGUUUUCUUGCCUAUUUCAGUGUUUCGAAGAAAAGGAAUAUCAAACGGAGUCCAAACGGAAUGAAACCUUCGGGAGCGUUAUUUUUGGAACGAAUGUGAUCCAGGAGACUUGGAGUUGAAGUCAAGGAAGCUUCAAGGUGGCCACGAGGGUGGGGGCGUGCCCCCCCCACUGGGCACGCGCCCUGUCUUGUGGGCCCCUCGAGCAUCCCCUGACCGACUUCUUUCACCUAUAUAAGUCCAUAUACCCUAAAACCUUCAGAGAUGAAGAUAGAUCUGGAGUUCCACUGCCGCACACCUCUGUAGCCACCAAAAACCUCUCGGGAGCCCUUUCUGGCACCCUGUCGGAGGGGGAACCCAUCACCAGUGGCCAUCUUCAUCAUCCCGACGCUCUCCAUGAUGAGGAGGGAAUAGUUCACCCUCGGGGCUGAGGGUAUGUACCAGUAGCUAUGUGUUUGAUCUCUCUCUCUCUCUCUCUCUCUCUCUCUCUCUCUCUCGUGUUCUCUCUAUGGCACGAUCUUGAUGUAUCGCGAGCUUUGCUAUUAUAGUUGGAUCUUAUGAUGUUUCUCCCCCUCUACUCUCUUGUGAUGAAUUGAGUUUUCCCUUUGAAGUUAUCUUGUCGGAUUGAGUCUUUAAGGAUUUGAGAACACUUGAUGUAUGUCUUGCCGUGCUUAUCUGUGGUGACAAUGGGAUAUCACGUGAUCCACUUGAUGUAUGUUUUGGUGAUCAACUUGCGGGCUCCACCCAUGAACCUAUGCAUAGGGGUUGGCACACGUUUUCGUCUUAACUCUCCGGUAUAAACUUUGGGGCACUCUUUGAAUUACUUUGUGUUGGUUGAAUAGAUGAAUCUGAGAUUGUGUGAUGCAUAUCGUAUAAUCAUGCCCACAGAUACUUGAGGUGACAAUGGAGUAUCUAGGUGACAUUAGGGUUUUGGUUGAUUUGUGUCUUAAGGUGUUAUUCUAGUACGAACUCUAUGAUAGAUUGAAUGGAAAGAAUAGCUUCAUGUUAUUUUACUACGGACUCUUGAAUAGAUAGAACAGAAAGGAUAACUUUGAGGUGGUUUCGUACCCUACCAUAAUCUCUUCGUUUGUUCUCCGCUAUUAGUGUCUUUGGAGUGACUCUUUGUUGCAUGUUGAGGGAUAGUUAUGUGAUCCAAUUAUGUUAUUAUUGUUGAGAGAACUUGCACUAGUGAAAGUAUGAACCCUAUGCCUUGUUUCCUACCAUUGCAAUACCGUUUACGCUCACUUUUAUCGCUUGCUACCUUGCUGUUUUUAUAUUUUCAGAUUACAAAUACCUAUAUCUACCAUCCAUAUUGCACUUGUAUCACCAUCUCUUCGCAAACUAGUGCACCUAUACAAUUUACCAUUGUAUUGGGUGUGUUGGGGACACAAGAGACUCUUUGUUAUUUGGUUGCAGGGUUGUUUGAGAGAGACCAUCUUCAUCCUACGCCUCCCACGGAUUGAUAAACCUUAGGUCAUCCACUUGAGGGAAAUUUGCUACUGUCCUACAAACCUCUGCACUUGGAGGCCCAACAACGUCUACAAGAAGAAGGUUGUGUAGUAGACAUCAAGCUCUUUUCUGGCGCCGUUGCCGGGGAGGUGAGUGCUUGAAGGUAUAUCUUUAGAUCUUGCAAUCGAAUCUUUUUGUUUCUUGUUUUAUCACUAGUUUAUUCUAUAAAAGAAAACUACAAAAAAAUGGAAUUAUGUUUGCCUCAUAUGCUUCAUCCUUUUAAUAUCUUUCGUAAGUAUGAUGAAAAGGAAAAUUGUGCUCAAGUGCUAGAAGAAGAAUGCAUUAAAAUGUUUGGUACUAGAUCUUUGUAUGAUGAGCAUGAUUGCAAUGUUGUUAGUAUGAAUUCCUUGAAUAUCCAUGAUGCUAAUGAUAUGCAAAGCCACAAGCUUGGGGAAG
rnacentral:lncRNA from 1 species